UGUAUCUGAGGUCUGACGAGGAUGAGAACCUCCGGGGGCAAGAGGUUCGACUCGAGCGCAGCGAGAGAACGUUGCUUCAGCAACGGCCCGCAGGGCGAGCCACGCAGUGGCGAGUCAUCCUCUAUCACCGGCAG
rnacentral:sRNA from 4 species